UUACGCACACACUUUUUGCCAUGUUAAAGGAACAAUUGCGUAUAGUGUGUAAGCACGUAUUUAGCACCUGAUUGUUUUGGCAUUAUUUGGCUCUCAGUUUGGGCAAUUUCUUGAGAUGAGCAAACAAUGAUUUAUGGUUGGGGCAAUCUAACAGGAUGGAUGGUUGACAUGUUUGCAACAAAAGCAGCACUGGAGAGAAGAAGUUGGACCAGCUGAGCCUAGUUUCCGAAAGUAUAAGGUCGCAGAUGUCCAGGUCAAGGUCCCCCAGCAUCUGUGUUUAAUUUCCAGGUCCAUGCCCUGCAGUUUAUUCUUCCACACUUUAAUCUUCACAUCUGCCCGCUCAAUUUGUCUUCUAAGUAUUCCUUCAAGACUGAUCUGAUACCUCAAGCCUUCUGGAGUCCAGUGACGCAGUAUCCUCAUCAUCUGCAGUAGAAGUGCCUUCUCCCUGCCAUAUGCAAUGGAAUUUAUAUUGACCUGUUGUUGACGAGAUGCGCUAAGCCUAUGAGUGAGAGUGAUGCCACAGACUGCAAGCCGCCGUAGAGGGAAACUUCAAAGGACACACAGCGUAUUGUGAC